ACACUACAAUAUUAAUUCAACUUAGUCUGAGAGGAGUCAUUGAUUCACACAAUUGGUCAUCGUGCUUGGUUGAAAAUCCAGUGGCACGAAGCUACCAUGUGUUGAAUUUUGAUUGAACACCUCUAAGUCAGAAUCCACGCUAGAAGAAAUUCUUGUCACUCCUCUACUAUAUCUUGACCCAUAGUAGGGGUGUCUCUUCGUCACCCCCAGGGUCCCAUGUCACUUGCAAACCUCAGUCGGGAAGCAUCUUGAUCGGGGUAGCUUUGAAGUUCAAUUUCAAAUGGUCAUUGAGAAGAAUCCUUUGCAGAUGACUUAAAUACAUGAUGGGGUAUUGUAAGUGGCAGAGUGGCCUUCUGCCAUGAUCCAAUGAGAUUCACCCCUUCGUCGCCUCGAUUCAG
rfam:Picea glauca, whole genome shotgun sequence.